GGGGUUGAAAUGGUUUCGACGGGGGAUAGAUUGGCGGGAGAAGCGAGCCGGGGUACCUACGCCCGUAAACGUGGAAAUCAAUUUAUUUGCCAAACCGAAUUACGCUUUAGCUGCUUAAGUGCAGUCUAACCCUGACCGAACUUCGUCCGUAGAGUUUGCGACGGGUCAUUAAUACGGACUUUCUGCCGCAGGCUUGGCCCGACCUGCGGCGGGAGACUCAGGGCCUGGCCCCUUGGCAGGCUGUUCGUGGCCGGCUAAGGAGUGAGAUCAAAUCACGGACUGCGCUCGGAGAUGCUCCUGUGGGUCAUCUUUCGGACAGGGGUUCGACUCCCCUCAGCUCCACCA
rnacentral:tmRNA from 1 species